GGGUCAGUAGGUUGGUCGUGCCACCGGUACGUACUGGUCUCACUGAUUCCUCCUUCCUGAAGAACCGUAAUGCCAUUAAUUUGGUGUUGCGGGGAAACAGGACUGUUACUUUGAAAAAAUUAGAGUGUUUAAAGCAAGCUAACGCUUGAAUACAUUAGCAUGGAAUAAUGAAAUAGGACGAUCGAUCCUAUUUUGUUGGUUUCUAGGAUUGACGUAAUGAUUAAUAGAUAGUUGGG
rnacentral:rRNA from 1 species